GUUGCACAGGCGUCAUCAAAGUGUAAAUUUAUAUUAUCACAAAGAAUGAAAAUGAAUAUUAAAUUUUUAGUUGAUAUAUUUUUAAUGAUAGUUUUUUGUGAAUUUAUUUUGUGUCUCAAUGGAGAAAUUCGACCUAGAAUCGAUGACAGUGUUGCGAAUUGGGGUGCAAACGGAGUCACAAAGCGAGAAAAUAAAUUACUCAAUCGAAAGAAGCGUUAUUUGACAUUUCCAAAGGGAGCUAGUUUUAUUAUGACACUAUCAUUAAUCAAGUCGUUGAUGAUCAAAACACCAACUGGUUUACGUCUGGCAGCGGAGUGUGAUGUGCCUUUUAGUUUGCCCAGUGAUACGCGAUGGUUAAAACGGCGAAAAGACGUUCACAGACGUCAGAAAAGAGAAGUUUUUGAGCAGAUAUCAAUAGCAUUCCAAGGUUUGGGUUUUAAUGGAACAGCCUGUAUAACCCGUGCAAUUUGCGAUGCUCGCGCCUAUGUGCCCCUGAGAGGCACGUCGUUAGUGAAAGACCUUUUGAUGACUCUAUUCAAAUUCGAUUCCGACCAUGAAUAUUCAACAAAAUGCAACGAAGACAUUAAUUUCUACUGUGACCUACCCCUUUUAAACUAUAUAGAAGGGUUGAUAAGAACUGAAUAACAUAAAACCACCCCUAAAUUAAAAAUAAUUUUAAUCAGUCUUUCAGUUAAACGUUAAAUAAUACAAUUGUUGUUAAUCAUUAAUUUAUUGUUAAAUAUUUAAAUAUUUAUGUAUUCGUGCAAUUAAAAAAGGGUCAACCCUUAACUCUAAACUGAUAUUGUAAUAAAAUAAAUUAUCGUGUUUGUGGUGUAAAAUACAAUGGCCUUGGUGCAAACUGACGAAAUUUAGGUCUCGUUUUCAUCCCCAUUGUCCUCGACACACUUCGGCACGCCUUUGCAGGGUUCCCGCUCCUUGGGGCGGGUAUCCGCCGCGCAGAAAUGAUCAGGCAACGCCAUCUCUAGUCCAUCUACACACAUUACACUCCUGCGACGUACAGCUUUCUCCCCU